ensembl:snRNA U6 U6 spliceosomal RNA
GUGCUUACUUCGGCAGCACAUAUGCUAAAACUGGAAUGAUACAGAGAAGAUUUAGCAUGGCCCCUGCGCAAGGAUGACAUGCAAAUUCAUGAAGCGUUUCACAUUUUU